rnacentral:lncRNA from 1 species
AGUUCUUCAGGGCUGUCUCUGUGAUCCAGGCUUUGAUCUGGGAAAGGUUGCGCCUCAUUGCAGAGUUGAAGCUAUCUGCCUGCUUUGUUUACACGAACGCCCUUCCAGGACUCUGUCUGCUUUUGGGGUGGAAGUGCCCUGCCAAAAACUCCAGCUCUCCAUGCUGGCUGUGUGGCCAGCAUACCUCCUGCCUUUUCAACGAUUCCUCUGCCCUGGAUAGAGAGCGGUGUCUCAUAACAGUUUGGAAACUACAAAAGUUUCCCUGGCAGGAUGAAUGAUUGACUCGGCAACAUGUUCUUGCCUUUUGGAGUUGCCCUCCAAUUUUUCCAGGCUUGAUUCUGUAAAUCAUUUCAUCUUGUAAAAAUACUGGGCUGUGAGCACGGAUGAUCUCAAAGAUGAGGAAACAGAAGCUGGGAUAUGUGAGUAAACAUUUCCAAGGUCCUGCAGCUAAUCAAUGGUUGACAACUUCUUUCCUCUGCCUAUGUUGCCAUCCAUGUCAUGGUUUGUGUCAAGACUCUAGGAGAAGUCUACCAUCAGCACCACAGCUACUGUGCACAAAUCCAGAAUGCCAGACUGAAGUCAGAAGGAAAGGACCUGGCUUUUAAAAAUGGUGAAGGGAAAUGUUCUUAUCACCCAUUCCUGUCAGAGAUGAUGCAGCUCAUUGCUGAUGCUGAGAUCCAACGUCCAGUGCCUGAGUACCCCUGGAUUCUGAGCACUAGGGGCUGGACUGUGGAGACCAUCAGUUCAUAACAUCCUGUCCCUGCUCCCUGCUGUAGAUGACUGAGACCAGGAAAAAAAGCAUCUCUCUGAAGUUAAAUGGCAUUUCAUUUUGAUUAAUUGUAGAAAGAAGAUUGGAAAAAUCUCCCAUGACCAAGGAAAAUUGUGAAAAAUAUUUCUGAUAUUUUGUCUAUGCAUUUUAUUUUUGAGGGUGUUUUUUAUAUUAGUGUGACUAUUUUGUAUUUCCUACCCUGUUGUAAACUUUUUAAAAAUUGCUCUUACAGUUAUUACUAAGUAUAUGAUUUAAAAUCCCUAAUUAGGGUUCUUAAACAAGGGAGAAGCACUCUCAUACCCCUAGAACAAGAUGAACAAAAGAAGGAGGAAAAAUCUUGACCUCCGUAAGAUCCAGGAUGGCACGUGCAAGGCACUGACACAGCAUCUGCCGGCAUCACUGACUCUCCUGGACCCCAGAAGCCCAGUUCCCCAGGCUCUGAAACCCUGCAGCAAUGAAAAGGAAGCACAGGCAAACCAUAAGGAAGAUAAUUUUUCUACUAAAAAAUAAAUAGAAAUGCAUCCUUAGAGGCAGGUUUCAUGAGGACACAGAGAAUCCGGUUUUGUGUGUGCCUGAUUUCGUUUUUCUGUCAAAGAGAUACAAAACAAUCAACUGAGUUAUCUUGAACUUACAAAGAUUAAAAAUAAUCAAUUCCUGUUACUAUUUUCAAUUUUUCCCCCAUUUUACUUCUUUAGGUAUGAAGAAAUGUAGCCUAUUAAAACCUGGAUUAAUAAAAACCUUUCAUUAACUUUUAGAA